GCCAGACUCCUACGGGAGGCAGCAGUGGGGGAUAUUGCACAAUGGGGGAAACCCUGAUGCAGCGACGCCGCGUGGGUGAAGAAGCGCCUCGGCGCGUAAAGCCCUGUCAGCAGGGAAGAAAAUGACGGUACCUGAAGAAGAAGCCCCGGCUAACUACGUGCCAGCAGCCGCGGUAAUACGUAGGGGGCAAGCGUUAUCCGGAUUUACUGGGUGUAAAGGGAGCGUAGACGGUUAUGUAAGUCUGGAGUGAAAGCCCGGGGCCCAACCCCGGGACUGCUUUGGAAACUGUGUAACUAGAGUACAGGAGGGGCAGGCGGAAUUCCUGGUGUAGCGGUGAAAUGCGUAGAUAUCAGGAGGAACACCGGCGGCGAAGGCGGCCUGCUGGACUGCAACUGACGUUGAGGCCCGAAAGCGUGGGGAGCAAACAGGAUUAGAUACCCCUGUAUG
rnacentral:rRNA from 1 species